AAUGCAUAAAUAUAAGGUGAAAACUGUACGAUAAUAGACCUGUAUUUUUAUGUAAUAGUAUUAUAUUAGAUAGUAUUCUUUAAUAUAUUGUUAUUAUUUAUUUAAAUCUUAUCUAAUAAAUAUUAACAAAUAAUUAAUAUUAUAAUUUAAAUUAUAAUAUAUUAAUAAAAUUCUAUUAUCUUUGAGUUAAUUCUUACAGAUAUUUUAUUAAUAAUAUACUAUUGAAAAUAAUGGUGUGUAAUUAAAAUAUAUCAUCAUUAAUAAAUUAACUUUAAUAAUUAAUUUUAUUAUAAUUAAUUUUAAUAUAAUGAUAUAUAUUAUAAUAUUUUAUAUUAUAAUAAAUUACAAAUUAAUUCUUUAUAGAAUUAAUAUAAAUAAGUACGAUGAGAGUUAACUUGUCGGAAUAUAGGGGAACCAUCCUCUAAGGCUAAGUAUUAUAAAUUUAGCGAUAGUGAAAUAGUACCGUGAGGGAAAAGUUGAAAAGAGUGUGAGUAAAUACACUUAGGUAGAAAUGGAAAAAAGAUACUGAAUGUACCUACUCUUAAAAGUAAAUAACGCAGUGAAAUAGACUUGAAUUAGUAACUCUAUAAGCAGUCGAAAUUUUAUUUAUAUAAAAUGACGGCGUACCUUUUGCAUAAUGGGUCAGCAAGUUAAUAGAAGUAGCAAGGUUAAAAGCCUAAGCGAAAGCGACUACUUAGUUAGUAAGUGGGUUAAGUUACUUCUAUUAGACCCGAAGCCAGGUGAUCUUUCCAAGACCAGAUUUAAACAGAUCGAACGGGUGAAUGUUGCAUAAUUCUCCGAUGAGUUUUGGAAAGCGGUGAAAUGCUAAUCUGACCUGGUGAUAGCUGGUUUUCUACGAAACAUAUUUAAGUAUGACAUCUACAUAAAAAUUUAUGGAGGUACAGCACGGUAAUUCCCAACAAAUAUUAAAAAUAAAUAUAAUUUUAUUAUAUUAAUUUUGAUAGGAGUUUAGGUUGUGGGGACCUCGAAAAUCUUACCAAUGGAAAUGAAUCUCGGAAUUACAUAAAUUGGUGGUAGAUAUUCAGACUAUUCAUGCUAAGUUGAAUAGUCAAGACGGAAACAGCCGAGAACACAAAUUAAGGUCCCGAAUGAUUAUUAAGUGAAAUAAAGGAUGUGACAUAUUGAAUGCAGCUGAAAAGUGAGCCUGGCAGUCGCUAACUUAUAAUGAACGUGUAACAACGUAUCAGCCCUUAGAUAGUUGCACCGAAGAUUUAACGGGUCUAAAAUAAUCAACCGAUAUUGUGUUAAUUUUAAAUAUAUUUUUAUUUAAAAUUUAGGUAGUAGAACGUUCAGAUAAUUGAGAGUAUAUUUCAAAAAUCCAAACCAACAAUUAACAGUGUUUCAUUGUUUAUAGGAAUCUGAAGUGAUAAUGCUGACAUGAGUAACGUAAAAAGAAAGCUGAAUUUAGAAUUAUAUUCUAAUAAAAUAAACUUUCUCGCCGAAUACGAAAGGGUUAUUAGCUAAAGAUUAAUUCGACUAAUGUUAAUGCGGUCUCUAAGGUACAAAACCAAAGUUUUGACUGAUGAGUAAAGCUUUGAAAGCUCUGAUGGAGAAUAUUAAAUUACAAAGAAUGAAAUGUAAAAAUGUAAAAAUUUUUACAUGGAAAUAAGUUAAAUUAAGUUGAAAUUUUUAAGUAAUUUUAAUAAAAUUUAUACUUAAUGUUCUAUUGAUAGAUGAAUAUUUCUCAAUUAGUAAUUAAUAUUAAAAUAGAGCCAGGAAAAAUAUGUUUUUGAAUAACUUAAUCUUAUAGAUAAGUAUGUUAAAAUUUUAGACCUUAGAGUGAAUAUUCUAAGAUAAUCUAUCAAAAAUAAAUAUAAUAAAAAUAUUUAAUUUAUUUCAAAUUAGUCAUUUGAAAUAUAAUUUCUUAUUUGUUUAUAUUUAGUUUAACUUAAAAAAUAAAUAUUUUAUUUUUAAUUGGAUAAGAAUUAAGAAUAAUUUUAUUAUUUUUUGACUUAUUAAUAUUAUUUAUUUAAUGGUUACAUUUUGUAAUAAUAUGAAUAUUUUUUUAAGCCCACCGUACCCUAAACCGACACAGGUUCGUAGGUAGAGAAUACUAAGGCGUAGAGCUAAAAGUUGUAAAGGAACUCGGCAAAUUAUCCUCGUAAGUUCGUCAAUAAGAGGAACCACUUUCUAACUUUAAUAACUCCUGUUAAUGUAAGUCUUAAAAAAGUGGUGGCACAAAAUCGGAAGCCCCGACUGUUUACUAAAAACACAACUAUCUGCAAUGAUGCAAAUCAUAGUAUAGGUAGUGAGGUUUGCCCAAUGCCAUCAGCAUAAGAGACGUAAUAGGAAACUGUUAAAUAUCGAAAGCCUGGUUAAUAGCGGUCUUAACCAUGAGGAUCCUAAGGUAGCAAAAUAAAUUGGCCAUUAAAUGUGGUCCAGUAUCAAUAAUUUAACGAUGGCUUCACUGUCUCUACAACUUGCUCAGUGAAAUUGAAUUGUGAGUGCAGAUGCUCACUACUCGCAGGGGGACGGGAAGACCCUAUGCAGCUUCUACUGUAGUUAGUCAUCACAUUUAUUACCUUCAUACUUUAGUAACCAGAUAAUAGGGAAGUCGAUUAGACAUAAUAUGGAAAACCUUAUAACUGAAGUUGGGUUCAUGUUUACCUUUCUAUCUUUAUAGAUAUUUAGAAAGGGAGAGCUGACUAAUUGGCAGUUUGACUGGGGCGGUCGUCUUUAAUAGAGUAGCAAAGUACAUCCAAGUAGAUUAAAAUUAAUUAAAAUAUUUUACUAAACUUUAAUAAAAAUUAAAUUAGUAAAUAUUCAGACAAAAAAUUAAUUAUAGUAAAUAAAGUAAUUUAAUUACUAAAAAUUCAAAUUUAUUAUUAUUCAUUAGAUAAGGUAUGCUAGAAAUUAAAUGGAAGUUAAUAAACCAGUGAAUAAGGUUUUGGAGAGCGCAAUGGCGGUAAGCAUGCUUAACUGAAAGACUUAAAAGUCGAACAGAUACGUAAGUAGGGCAUAGUGACCCCUCGCUAUAUAAUGGAAUAGACGGGGAUCAAUUGAUAAAAGUUACGCUAGGGAUAACAGGCUGAUAGCCGGCGAGAGUACACAUUGUCCCGGCUGUUUGGCACCUCGAUGUCGACUUAACCUAUCCUCCAGGAGCAAAAUCUUGGAAGGGUUCGGCUGUUCGCCGAUUAAAAGGUUACAUGAGUUGGGUUUAAUACGACGUGAGUCAGUAUGGUCCCUAUCUUCUGUGAGAAUAAAUAGUAAAAAGGGGGAGACCUUCUAGUACGAAAGGACCAAUAGGAUGUGUUUCUCUAGUGCACCAAUUGUUGAAAACAAUAUAUAUUUAGAUCUGAAAAGAUUUCAUAUUUAUUAGUGAGUAUGCACAGUUGGGUAGCCACAAACAUAUUAGAUAAGAGCUGAAAGUAUAUCAAGCAUGAAUCUAUCCCCUAGAUACUAUCAAGGAUUUCUUUUUGUUUUGUCUUAAGGAGGGUUUAACUUAAAUAUUCCUAUAAUUUAAAUCCAUUUCUGAAACCUCUAUAAAUAUAUAUUACAAUUUAUAGU
rnacentral:rRNA from 1 species